GUAACACUAUGAAUAAUACUAUAAAUAAUAAUAACAUAAACAACUCUUCUCUUAUUAACUCAACGUUCAAACCAUUCGAUCAAACUGCUAAUUUAUUUGGUAAUAAAACGAAUGAAACGUCCUUGUUUAAAAAGAAUACCAACGUCGGUACUACGUCAAGCAUAUUUGGUAAUUCAGAAAAUGCUAAUCAAUCUAUGUUAAAUGGCCGAAUGUCUAGUUUUUCAAAUACAUUCUCUUUUAAUAGUGAGACAAAAAAUGGUAACAGCGGCAUGGGGAAUAGCUUAGGUAACAGCUUGGGUAAUAACAGCUUGGGUAAUAACAGCUUGGGUAAUAACAGUUUAGGUAAUAACAGUUUAGGUAACAGUUUAGGUAACAGUUUAGGUAACAGUUUAGGUAAUAACAGCUUGGGUAACAGCUUAGGUAAUAACAGCUUGGGUAACAGCUUUAAUAGUAACCUAGGUACUAGCUUAAAUAACAACUUAGGUACUAGCUUAAAUAACAACUUAGGCAACAAUUUUAAUUUAGCGUUUAAUAAAAGUACGAAUUCAGCACAAACGUCAGGAAGUAUAUUCGGUAUAAACAAACCAUCAAACAUUAACAACACAUUAAAUAAUCAAACUAAUAAUAUAUCUAAUAACAUGAUGAAUAAUGUAAUAAAUGCUACAGCAAAUAAGAAUAUGAAUAUAUUUGGUUCGACAACUAAUACCAAUGAAAGCAACUUAUCUUCUGGCAAGUUAUCAACAACAGGAACACCUAUGAAUAUAACAAACUCAACUAUGUCACUUUCAUCUGCACAAUCCCAUCUUACUUCGACAAUGCAGAAUACGGGAAUGCAAAAUACAUCUAGUAGUAAUUCACUUUUUAGUUUAGAUAAGCAGAAUCAAGGGCAUUCAAUAUUUGGAACUAAUAAAGACAAUAAAAACACGUUUUCUCUUAAUAAUACGACGAUGGGUGGUAAUAAUAACAGUAUUUUUUCAAAUUCACAAUUAAGUAAUAAUACUGAUAAAAAUAAAAAUACAUUGAACCCAUUAUUAUUGACUAAUAAUACGGGUUCUAUUUUUAAUCAAAAGAGUACUGGCACCCGUCCUUUUUCUUUAUUAUCAGGAAACACGUUGACAGGUGGCAAUUCCUUGACAAAUGCUAACCAAAUGGCAAAUGCUAACCAAAUGGUAAAUGCUAACCAAAUGGCAAAUGCUAACCAAAUGACAAAUGCUGGAACAAUGUUUGGAAAUAACAAUACAUUUGGAAAGACUGAUAUAUUUGGAAAUACAACAGGAACAGGUGCAUCUACUAAUUUGUUUGGUAAUAAUAUGAACAGUACAAACGCUUCAUUAGGUUCAAAAUCAUUAUUUGGUAGUGAUAUAAAUACACAAAAGCCAUUGUCAAAUAUUUUUGGUAACACAAAUAAAAAUAAUACUAUUUUGAACUCUAGUAAUAAUACCAUAGACAAACCAACACAACCUAGUAUCUUUGGAAAUAAUAUUACUAGUGGUAAUCAGAGUCCUUUUAACAAACCAGCUGACCUGUUUUCUACUAAUAACAACAUGACGAAUAACACCAAC
ensembl:lncRNA